GCUUAGCUCCCUGAAGUCACGCGGCGGACGGGUGAGUAACACGUGGGCAACCUGCCUGUAAGACUGGGAUAACUCCGGGAAACCGGGGCUAAUACCGGAUAAUUCUUUCCCUCACAUGAGGGAAAGCUGAAAGAUGGUUUCGGCUAUCACUUACAGAUGGGCCCGCGGCGCAUUAGCUAGUUGGUGAGGUAACGGCUCACCAAGGCGACGAUGCGUAGCCCACCUGAGAGGGUGAUCGGCCACACUGGGACUGAGACACGGCCCAGACUCCUACGGGAGGCAGCAGUAGGGAAUCUUCCGCAAUGGACGAAAGUCUGACGGAGCAACGCCGCGUGAGUGAUGAAGGUUUUCGGAUCGUAAAACUCUGUUGUUAGGGAAGAACAAGUACCGGAGUAACUGCCGGUACCUUGACGGUACCUAACCAGAAAGCCACGGCUAACUACGUGCCAGCAGCCGCGGUAAUACGUAGGUGGCAAGCGUUGUCCGGAAUUAUUGGGCGUAAAGCGCGCGCAGGCGGUUCCUUAAGUCUGAUGUGAAAGCCCCUGGCUCAACUGGGGAGGGUCAUUGGAAACUGGGGAACUUGAGUGCAGAAGAGAAGAGUGGAAUUCCACGUGUAGCGGUGAAAUGCGUAGAGAUGUGGAGGAACAUCAGUGGCGAAGGCGACUCUUUGGUCUGUAACUGACGCUGAGGCGCGAAAGCGUGGGGAGCAAACAGGAUUAGAUACUCCUGGUAGUCCACGCCUGUAAACGAUGAGUGCUAAGUGUUAGAGGGUUUCUCGCUCCUUUAGUGCUGCAGCAAACGCAUUAAGCACUCCGCCUGGGGAGUACGGGCUGCAAGGCUGAAACUCAAGGAAUUGACGGGGGCCCGCACAAGCGGUGGAGCAUGUGGUUUAAUUCGAAGCAACGCGAAGAACCUUACUAGGUCUUGACAUCUCCUGACACCCUAGAGAUAGGGCGUUCUCCUUCGGGGGACAGGAUGACAGUGGUGCAUGGUGUCGUCAGCUCGUGUCGUGAGAUGUGGGUAGUCUCGCACGAGCGCACUCUUGAUCUAGUGCCAGCAUUCAGUGGCACUCUAAGUGACUGCCGUGACGACCGGAGAAGGUGGGGGAUGACGUCGAUCAUCAUGCUCUUAUGACCUGGCUACCCUCGUGCUACAUGGAUGGUACAAGGCUGCGAAACCUGCAGUAGCGAUUCUAUAAACACUUUCUCGAUCCGAUUGCAGGUGGCAACUGCCUG
rnacentral:rRNA from 1 species